rnacentral:rRNA from 1 species
AUACGUAGGGGGCGAGCGUUGUCCGGAGUUACUGGGCGUAAAGAGCGUGUAGGCGGUUGGAAAAGUCAGGUGUGAAAUUCUUCGGCUCAACCGAGGGACUGCGCCUGAAACUUUCCGACUGGAGUUCGGGAGGGGCAACUGGAAUUCCUGGUGUAACGGUGAAAUGUGUAGAUAUCAGGAGGAACACCCGUGGCGAAGGCGGGUUGCUGGACCGAAACUGACGCUGAGACGCGAAAGCGUGGGUAGCAAACAGGAUUAGAUACCCUGGUAGUCCACGCUGUAAACGAUGAGUGCUAGGUGUAGGGGGUAUCGACUCCUUCUGUGCCGCAGUUAACGCAUUAAGCACUCCGCCUGGGGAGUACGGCCGCAAGGUUAAA